rnacentral:rRNA from 1 species
UACGAAGGGGGCUAGCGUUGCUCGGAAUCACUGGGCGUAAAGCGCACGUAGGCGGAUUGCUAAGUCAGGGGUGAAAUCCUGGAGCUCAACUCCAGAACUGCCUUUGAUACUGGCGACCUUGAGUCCGGGAGAGGUGAGUGGAACUGCGAGUGUAGAGGUGAAAUUCGUAGAUAUUCGCAAGAACACCCGUGGCUAAGGCGGCUCUCUAGUACGGUACUGACGCUGAGACGCGAAAGCGUGGGGAGCGAACAGG